UACGUAGGGAGCAAGCGUUGUCCGGAAUCAUUGGGCGUAAAGCACGCGUAGGUGGCCAUGUAAGUCCGCUGUGAAAGUCAAAGGCUCAACCUUUGAAAGCCGGUGGAUACUGCAUGGCUAGAGUACGGAAGAGGCGAGUGGAAUUCCUGGUGUAGCGGUGGAAUGCGCAGAUAUCAGGAGGAACACCAAUAGCGAAGGCAGCUCGCUGGGACGUUACUGACACUAAGGCGCGAAAGCGUGGGGAGCGAACAGG
rnacentral:rRNA from 1 species